rnacentral:SRP_RNA from 1 species
GCUGGGCGUGGUGGCUCAUGCCUGUAAUCCCAGCUACUUGGGAAGCUGAGGCAGGAGGAUCACUUGAACCCAGAAGGUGGAGGUUGCAGUGAGGUGAGAUCACACCACUGCACUCCAGCCUGGGUGACAGAGUGAGACUCUGUCUCAA